rnacentral:rRNA from 1 species
AGCGAACGCUGGCGGCAGGCCUAACACAUGCAAGUCGAACGAACCUUUCGGGGUUAGUGGCGGACGGGUGAGUAACACGUGGGAACGUGCCCUUAGGUUCGGAAUAACUCAGGGAAACUUGUGCUAAUACCGAAUGUGCCCUUCGGGGGAAAGAUUAAUCGCCUUUAGAGCGGCCCGCGUCUGAUUAGCUAGUUGGUUGAGGUAAUGGCUCACCAAGGCGACGAUCAGUAGCUGGUAUGAGAGGAUGAUCAGCCGCAUUGGGACUGAGACACGGCCCAAACUCCUACGGGAGGCAGGAGUGGGGAAUCUUGCGCAAUGGGCGAAAGCAUGACGCAGCCAUGCCGCGUGAAUGAUGAAGGUCUUAGGAUUGUAAAAUUCUUUCACCGGGGACGAUAAUGACGGUACCCGGAGAAGAAGCCCCGGCUAACUUCGUG